UCGGAGGUUCGAAUCCUUCCGUCCCAG
rnacentral:tRNA from 1 species